UCCGCUACUCGAUGUUGUGAUCUCAGUUACUUCCCCUGAUGUUCAGUAGAUGAAAUGAUGGUCGAGAUAUUUGGAAGAAAUACAAAUUUUAGCUAAACACAGAACAAUACAUUUUACAGUUUCAGGAUAUGAAAUUAGGAAAGAACGAAAGAUAUGAAAUGAGCACCGGCAAACUGAUCUUGGCAUGUUACAUCCUUAUCACAGAACUGGAACCUACUGAUUAAGAUGAGAAAUACGGAACAUGGUAAUUUGAGCAGGUGAAGGAAA